GCUACGUUUCUUUCCGCUGAGACUUGAGAGGCCAGGGAGCAGAGGCGGCCAGCCGAGUGGGCGAGAGCCCGGCCUGACGUGGGGAGGAGACGUCUUCUCGUCGGGAGGCUAGGCUUUCUUUAGAUGAGCAACCAUGGUGGCUGCUACUUCCUGUGGAGCAAGAGGAACGUGGACUGUAAGGGUCAUGUGCACGGGGUGGGAAGCGCUGGUGGGUGAGCUGGGGUCCCCCCAAUGAUGGAUUGUUGGGGAGCUUUCUUUCAAGGCACUAAUAAACACACAAGCGGCUCCAGUUCUUGAAAAAUGUGUUCCAGUUCUUCAGAAAAGGGUCUUUCCCAUUUUUCUUGUUGCGGUUGUCAGGAA
rnacentral:lncRNA from 1 species